rnacentral:rRNA from 1 species
AUUGAACGCUGGCGGCAUGCCUUACACAUGCAAGUCGAACGGAUUCAAGGGGCUUGCUCCUUGAGUUAGUGGCGAACGGGUGAGUAAUGCAUCGGAACGUACCCAGUUGUGGGGGAUAACGUAGCGAAAGUUACGCUAAUACCGCAUACGACCUGAGGGUGAAAGCGGGGGAUCGCAAGACCUCGCGCAAUUGGAGCGGCCGAUGUCAGAUUAGCUAGUUGGUAGGGUAAAAGCCUACCAAGGCGACGAUCUGUAGCUGGUCUGAGAGGACGACCAGCAACACUGGGACUGAGACACGGCCCAGACUCCUACGGGAGGCAGCAGUGGGGAAUUUUGGACAAUGGGGGAAACCCUGAUCCAGCCAUGCCGCGUGAGUGAAGAAGGCCUUCGGGUUGUAAAGCUCUUUCGGACAGAAAGAAAUCUUUUGGGCUAAUACCCUGAGAGGAUGACGGUACUGUAAGAAGAAGCACCGGCUAACUACGUGCCAGCCGCCGCCGUAA